UUCAGAUAUGCUACAAUCAAAAUACUCCUUAUGUAGCAGUCUGUGAAUUAAGAUGUCAAGAAUCAGAGAAUCUGCUCUGCACUGACUUGUUAUGAAUGGGAUUUGUUAAUCUACAAUAUCAAUGAAGAUUAGAGGUGAAUACCUUGAUGUGAAACUUCAAACAAGACAGGUAAAACCCUUGUAACCUGGCUUUAGGAUAGUUAUAUUUUGGGAACAUGAAUGAAAAGCUGAAAGAAAAAUAUGCGCCACAAGCAGAGUCUACAGAUGCGGUAAAUGAAAGUGUUGGCUGGAAUCCUCAGUUUCCCUGACUGACUAAACUGAUUUUCACAAUAAUGAAUUUCAAUUUCAUGAACAGAUGUGUCCUUAUACACCAAGCCUCAAGACACCUGGCGCAACUGAGCCAUGCUCAGCUCCUUUUUCUUAGUUGCAACGUGAUGUGACAAAACCACUUCACGAGACUAUAUUAGUUAAUUUGAUGUGCGACACCUGUAUAUCUGUGUGAGACUGAGUCUGAAUCUCUAUACGAAGCACACAGAUACUGUAUACAAGUAUCACAUAUCAAAAUAAUCAGAGCAGUCUUCUGAAGUGGCUUUGUUGUAACUCUUUGCAACUAAGAUGCCGAUUCGGGAGAAAAAGACAAUCAGCAUGGCUCACUCGCACUGCAUGGCAUUUUGAGGCUAGAUGUGUGAGGAGACCUCUGUUCAUGAAUUUUAAAUUCAUUAUUCUGAAAAUCAGGGGAGUCAGUCGGGGGAAAUUUGAUUUGUAUGAAAAAGACGCAAAAAAGAUGCUGAGUGCAAAGGGAUCUGGAAGAAGGGAUGUUUGACACAUCUGUAGGGUAUCUUCUCUAAAUGGGCCCAUACAGUACAUCACGUAACUGCAAUUCCCCGUUCUGACGAUGCCUAGGUCAGUAAAAUGUAAUAUGUUGGAAUCGGCGAGUCAGUGAUUUUUAACAUGAUAGAUUUUACAGACCCCUCAAGAAAUUGCUGAUCAUGAGUCCACCGAUUGGUGGAUCAGCAUUGAGUAAUCGCCCCUUAGAUGUAUGGCCCACUUAACACAAUGACACACCAGAGGAGUGAACCGACCAAUUUAUCAUCAGAAGAACUCUCUUGGAAGUAGUAUGGAUGGGUUGCUGUACCAGCUAUGAGUAACAAUCUGUGUCUUUGUGGGUUUAGAUAAGGGGGAUCUUGCUGUCCUACAUGAGGUGCUGUUAAGGAGAGGUAGGAUGAAACUUUGUUACCUGUUUAGGGGCCGAUUUCAGACCUGAUCGCAACAGCAAACUUUUUCUCUAAUGGGCAAAACCAUGUGCAGUGCAGGUGGGGCAGAUUUAACAUGUGCAGAGAAAGUUAGAUCUGGGUGGAGUGUGUUCAAACUGAAAUCUUAAUUUCAAGUUUACUUACAUCCUUAACACAUUUAAGCAAAUGUACAUUUAUUACUGCAUUGCAUGCUUAUUUGUCUCAGUUGCCAUUUCUUGGCACUCACUACCAAGCUAAGCAGUAGAGCCCCAUAAGAAGGCAAAUCCAGUCUUCUAUGCAUUAAUUUAUAGAUAGAUCAAAAUGGAACUGGAUCAAAUAUCUGCUUCAUCAGUUACUCUGAGAUCUGCUCUAAGUUAUAGUGGACACUUUAUUAGGUACACCUGUCUAAACACUUGGUACAGUCACCCUUUGUCUCCAGAACAGUCUGAUUUUUUUUUCAUGGCAUGGAUUCAGCAAAGUGUGUGAAACACUGAUUACAGAUUCUGCUCCAUGGUGAUUUGACAAAAUCACACACUUGCUUAAAUAUCCUUUGCUGCUCCACCUCAUCACUAAGGUGCUCUAUGGGAAUGAGAUCUGGUUGGUGGCUGUUGUGGAAAAUGGAGUACACAGAGCUCAUUUUCACAGAACCAGCUUUAGGUGACAGGUGCUUUGUGGCAUGGAGCAUUAUGCAGCUAGAAGUAACCAUUAGAAGAUGGGUCGCCUGUGACCAUAAAGGGAUACACAUCAUGAGUAAUAAUGCUAAUGUAGGCUGCGGCAUUAAAUACAUGCCCAAUUGUUAUUAAGGGACCUAAUGUGAGCUAAGAAAACAUUACUCACAACUAUUGCACCGCCACAAACCUGACCCUUUGCCAUAAGUCGCAGCAGACAUUACUCAGACCAGGUAAUGUUUAUAAACCAUUUAACCCCUUCAGAGGCAGGUUUUAAAUUUAA